GAUGAACGCUGGCGGCGUGCUUAACACAUGCAAGUCGAACGGAUCCAUAUUGAAACCUAGUGAUAUAUGGGUUAGUGGCGGACGGGUGAGUAACGCGUGGGUAACCUGCCUUACACAGGGGGAUAACACUUAGAAAUAGGUGCUAAAACCGCAUAAGCGCACAGCUUCGCAUGAAGCGGUGUGAAAAACUCCGGUGGUGUAAGAUGGACCCGCGUCUGAUUAGCUUGUUGGCGGGGUAACGGCCCACCAAGGCGACGAUCAGUAGCCGGCCUGAGAGGGCGGACGGCCACAUUGGGACUGAGACACGGCCCAGACUCCUACGGGAGGCAGCAGUGGGGAAUAUUGCACAAUGGGGGAAACCCUGAUGCAGCGACGCCGCGUGAGUGAAGAAGUAAUUCGUUACGUAAAGCUCUAUCAGCAGGGAAGAAAAUGACGGUACCUGAGUAAGAAGCCCCGGCUAACUACGUGCCAGCAGCCGCGGUAAUACGUAGGGGGCAAGCGUUAUCCG
rnacentral:rRNA from 1 species